GAUGAAGAACGCAGCAAAAUGCGAUAAGUAAUGUGAAUUGCAGAAUUCAGUGAAUCAUCGAAUCUUUGAACGCACAUUGCGCCCACUGGUAUUCCGGCGGGCAUGCCUGUUCGAGCGUCAUUUCAACCCUCAAGCCCCCGGGUUUGGUGUUGGGGAUCGGCUCUGCCCUUCUGGGCGGUGCCGCCCCCGAAAUACAUUGGCGGUCUCGCUGCAGCCUCCAUUGCGUAGUAGCUAACACCUCGCAACUGGAACGCGGCGCGGCCAUGCCGUAAAACCCCAACUUCUGAAUGUUGACCUCGGAUCAGGUAGGAAUACCCGCUGAACUUAAGCAUAUCAAUAAGCGGAGGA
rnacentral:misc_RNA from 1 species